AGAUUCAUAGGAUGACAGUGGAGGAGGGCGGAGCCGGAGGAUUCAAAGAGCUUUCAUCAACAUUCUGUGAAGACAGACGCUGUUUUGAUUUGAUAGCAUGUAUUCAGUCCUGGAGACUUCAAACCCAGGCUCUCUUUAUGAAGAAAGAAGAAUAGUUCAAGUUCCAGAGAAGGAGGCAAGGAAGCGCUAAAUUCCCCCAUCACUAGCCGUCGUAUUCAUUCCUUAGAGUUGUUCUAAGAAAUUGCCACAAACUGGGUGGCUUAAAGCAACAGAAAUUGAUUCUCUCACAGUUCUGGAGGCUGGAAGACCAAAGUCAAACAGUCAGCAGGGCCUGCUCGCUAGCUGACGCUGCGUGGAUUCUUCCCUCAGUCAGGAGCUCCGCGUUCCCCUGCUGCAACAGUUGAAGGAAAAACGGGAGAACGUUCGUUUUCAAAUCUGGCUUUGCUUCUACCAGGUCGAGUGACGCCGGGAAUUGUGUCUGACGCUUCACUAUGACCUGAGCAGAGUCUCCAUGCCUGCUGAGUGACUAGCGGACACUACAUGAGUGAAGGAGAGCCCAGCAAAGCCGCACUUGGCACCCAAUAAAAGAACGAAGAUCGCAAAAUCCAGCCACGGGUUCCUGAUGAGUUAUAAUGGCACAAAGCUUUGUUUAACAGUUAGCUUUGGGAUGAAAAGAUCCAGUGGCAGCUGGAGAUUUGGAUCCGGUGCUUUGCGAGAGGAAGUCAGCUUGAACUCAGAAGGGUGUUUGGGCUCUAAUCAAGCAGCACUGGGACCAGAGUCAAACUCAUCUCAAUCAGGACAAGAGGAGGCUUCCCUUGGGAAAAACAGGGUAGCGCUCAAGGAGAAUGACAGGUGCACUAGGGAAAACAGAGGCUCUACCUGUGUGAAAUUUCCAGAUUUGUUACAGAAAGCGGCAAGGAGUAGGAUAUAAAGAAAGCCAAAGAAAGAACACAAGAAAGUGGAUGAAGGAAGGAAAGGAAGAUGUUAGGGAGGGGAGAGAACAGAUCUUAGAAAUUCAAAUACUCUCACAGCAGACACUACAAGAUUAUGAGUCACUCAGUCCUAUGGGACUCAUAGUUCACGCCCCAGAUGUGAGCCCGGUACAGUGGGGAUAUGUGGAAUUCGUCACGGGAGAGAGGGAGUCCUUGCUCAGCCACUUACUGGAUGAAUACCAUUGAGUGAAUCACCUUCUCUAUGCAUCAGUUUUCUCUACCACAAAAUUCAAAUAAAAGAUGCAUUCACAGUCUUACUGUGAACGCUAAGAAAUGUACAUGAACACAUUUUGUAAGCCAUACCUUGUUCUGCACGUGACCAUUAUCAUGCUACUUGCAGAUCACAUAACAUUCAGUGAUGUUUUCCUUCAGUCUACUUCUUUCUAAAGCACAGUUAUUAAGAGUUGGUUGUGAAUGGACAGCUAAGAACCUGGGGUGAACCCUCACACAUCUGAGGCUAGCCAUGGGGUUAAAUGCUAGCGCAGGUGUGACCUUCAACCUGUCCCGUCCCAAACCUUCCUACCAGGGGUGUCACAAGAGCCAGGGGUGUGUAGAAGACAUUCUCAAAUCCGUGGUUUUCUUAGUAAAGUGGCAGAAGGAAAGUGACUGAUAGUGAAUUAUAGUAAAACACGCCCUGCCCUUCUACCUUUUCUCUGCUACGUAGUUCAACUUCUAGAUUUUGUGCCUCCAAAUACCAGCCUUCUUGGUAUGUUUAUAAAUACGAACCAGUAAAAAAAAAGUAAAAAAUAAAGAAUUUCUUUAUGUAUUUUUAUUUUAAACGAACAGUUUAAAAGCUUUUUCAUGGAUUUAAUUUUUUUUUUUUUUUUCAAAGCAGCUUGGAGAUAGAGCUAUAACCUAAGAGAUUGGUUUUUCCCUCUGUGCUGAGCCUGGAGAGCAUAGAAUCUGAAAUCUGGCCUUCAUUCUACAAUAAACGGGGAACUGAGUGGGAAGGGGACUUGCCCAGGGACACAAUGAUCGACUAUCAGAUUGGGACAAGCAUUCCACUCUCCAGUAUUCAUGGCGCCAGACUUCACCUACUGUGAGCUCCUCUAGAACAGAAGCUGAUUCUCCAUUUUGGCUGCGUAUUAGAACCACCUGGGGACUUUUUAAAAUCCCAGUGCCCCAGCUGCACCGCGUACCAAGUGAAUCAGAAUCUCUGGGGGUGGGACCCAGGUGUUACUACUUCUCGUAGCUACUCAGCAGACAAGUUUGAGAACUCAUGUUCUAGAGGACAAUGUUGAGUUCGGUAUUCAUGUAAAUAAUAAUGGCUCAGUGGAUGGAGCACUUUCUCUGUUGAGGCUAUCGCGUCAAGCGCUCUCCUGCUUUAUUCCACCCAGGUCCUUGCUGCAGCCUUCUCAAGUAAGUUCUGCUGUUACUCCCACCUUACAGCAGAGCAACCUGAUUCCUAAACAAGAGAGACACCUUGCUCAAAGCCAAGUAGUUCUCAAGAGGCAAAGUCCAAACUGCAACCCGGAGCUCUUAUGGACUAGGCUACACUACAUCUCUAACCUGACAGGCAGCCCUUCUUUGGCUGAGAGAGGAGUCACCAAGGUUUGUCCAGUGACUAUUUCUUAAUCUCUACUCAUAACUCGACAAAAAUUCAUUAUAGAUCAAGACAGCUGACCUUAAGGUGUGAAUCAGCCAUCAGUCACACGAGUAACCUGAACUUACACACGAUGCCAGAUGUGGGAUCCCGUAGAACACUGACUUUUGUGUAGCAGCCCAAAGGGCUAUUUUCAGGAAAAUAUGGGGCCCUAACACAUAGUUUUGCUUCAGGGUUGGUUCCACUUGAUUCUGUUGACUGACUAUCCACAUACUAAUAUUUCAUAGGACACGUCCAUCCAUGUCAUCCCAAUCUAACUUCUCACAGGAGUACCUGAUGUCCAGCCCAGCAUUUAUCUGUGGUCUCCUCCAAAGUAAAACAAAGAGGAUGGAAACAAUGUACAGUGAGAAACAGCUCUCUAUUAUAGUUAUUUUAGGAUUGAUUUUGAUAAACAGAAGUCCAAGGACAAGUUCUCAGAGGUCUUGAAAUUCCCUAGAAGACUCCUUUAACAAUUUAAAAUGCCAUAUUCUGAAUUAUUGGCACAAUUGCUUUAUUUCUAAAUCCUUUCGUAUAGUUCCAGUGUCCAAGUUUGCACUUAUAUUUAUAAAUGAGUUGUCACCAAACAGGGCUACUUUAACUGUCCCAGGCUAAUGAGAAAAGAACAAAGGCAGAUUUAGUAGGCAAAUGAUGAACUCCUGCCAUGUGAACUCUAAAUGACAUCACUGUGAACUGUGGGGAUGAAGGUUCUGAAGCAGUGCGAGAAGUGGUGAAAAAAAUUGACUUCAGUCCGACAGAUUGGGAAAGGCCUAAGCAAAUUAAAGGAAUAGUCCACACCGUAGCCCUAAUGCAAGCGGCAUUUGAAUUACUUUUGCUUUUGUAAUUUGGUUUUAGCUUGUUAAUUUGUUCUGACUUCAAAGUAGUAUGAAUUAAAAGCAUAAGGAGUUUA